AUUGAACGCUGGCGGCAUGCCUUACACAUGCAAGUCGAACGGUAACAGGUCUUCGGAUGCUGACGAGUGGCGAACGGGUGAGUAAUACAUCGGAACGUGCCCGAUCGUGGGGGAUAACGAGGCGAAAGCUUUGCUAAUACCGCAUACGAUCUACGGAUGAAAGCGGGGGAUCUUCGGACCUCGCGCGGACGGAGCGGCCGAUGGCAGAUUAGGUAGUUGGUGGGAUAAAAGCUUACCAAGCCGACGAUCUGUAGCUGGUCUGAGAGGAUGAUCAGCCACACUGGGACUGAGACACGGCCCAGACUCCUACGGGAGGCAGCAGUGGGGAAUUUUGGACAAUAGGCGAAAGCCUGAUCCAGCCAUGCCGCGUGCAGGAUGAAGGCCUUCGGGUUGUAAACUGCUUUUAUACGGAACGAAAAGCCUCUUUCUAAUAAAGAGGGGUCAUGACGGUACCGUAAGAAUAAGCACCGGCUAACUACGUG
rnacentral:rRNA from 1 species